GUGCCAGCCGCCGCGGUAAUACGUAGGGUGCGAGCGUUAAUCGGAUUUACUGGGCGUAAAGCAUGCGCAGGCGGCGGUUCAAGUCAGGUGUGAAAUCCCCGAGCUUAACUUGGGAAUUGCGCUUGAAACUAGAUCGCUAGAGUACGGCAGAGGGGGGUAGAAUUCCACGUGUAGCAGUGAAAUGCGUAGAGAUGUGGAGGAACACCGAUGGCGAAGGCAGCCCCCUGGGCCUGUACUGACGCUCAUGCAUGAAAGCGUGGGGAGCAAACAGGAUUAGAAACCCUCGUAGUCC
rnacentral:rRNA from 1 species